GUGGAAAUGAAUGUUUUUAACAUUUGCAAGCAACAUGGAGAUAAUGAUGAUUUACAUGAAAUAGAUUUUAUUGAACAAUUUGUUGAUGAUCAGUUUAUCACUACAUCUUCAUCUAAUGUGCUAGAAUUUGAAUUUAACAAUAAUUCUGAAAAUUCGCAUAUAAUUUCUUUGUUGAAUUCUUUUCAGGAGAAAAAGACAAAUGAUUGGAAAUCAAAGUUUGAAAAAUUAUCACAACAGUCCAAUAUGUCCAUGAUUCCAAGUGUUCAAAUGCCAAAGCUCGACUUGAAGCCAUUACCAUCCAAUCUAAAAUACUCAUUUUUGGGUGAAGAUGAAACUCUUUCGAUAAUAAUUUCUUCCCAACUUGAUGCGCACCAAGAAGGUAAGUUAUUGCAAACUUUAAAAAUGCAUAAAAAUGUUUUAGGAUGGACCAUAGCUGAUAUAAAGGGGAUUAGUCCUUUGAUUUGCACACAUAAGAUUUAUUUGGAGGAAUAUGCUAAACCUACAAGAGAAAUGCAAAGAAGGCUUAAUCCUGUUUUAAAAGAGGUGGUAAGAAAUGAAGUCAUUAAACUCUUAGAUAAUGAAAUCAUUUAUCCUAUUUCUGAUAGUAGAUGGGUAAGUCCAACCCAAGUUGUACCAAAAAAAUUUGGUGUUACUGUAGUCAAAAAUGAAGAAAAUGAGUUAAUUCCAACUAUAACUGUUACUGGUUGGCGCAUGUGUAUCGACUAUAAGAAACUCAACUCAAUGA
rnacentral:lncRNA from 1 species